rnacentral:rRNA from 1 species
GAGAUAGAGCUUCCCCUUCGGGGGCAAAGUGACAGGUGGUGCAUGGUUGUCGUCAGCUCGUGUCGUGAGAUGUUGGGUUAAGUCCCGCAACGAGCGCAACCCUUAUUGUUAGUUGCCAUCAUUUAGUUGGGCACUCUAGCGAGACUGCCGGUGACAAACCGGAGGAAGGUGGGGAUGACGUCAAAUCAUCAUGCCCCUUAUGACCUGGGCUACACACGUGCUACAAUGGGAAGUACAACGAGUUGCGAAGUCGCGAGGCUAAGCUAAUCUCUUAAAGCUUCUCUCAGUUCGGAUUGUAGGCUGCAACUCGCCUACAUGAAGCCGGAAUCGCUAGUAAUCGCGGAUCAGCACGCCGCGGUGAAUACGUUCCCGGGCCUUGUACACACCGCCCGUCACACCACGAGAGUUUGUAACACCCGAAGUCGGUGAGGUAACCUUUUUGGAGCCAGCCGCCUAAGGUGGGAUAGAUGAUUGGGGUGAAGUCGUAACAAGGUAGCCGUAUCGGAAGGUG